CAGUGCGAAAAGAGGCAGUAAUACAGAUGCGUUGUGCUUGCACAAAAGCAUCUGUAUUGCUGACUCUUUUCAUAGGGCGAAGCCCGUAAACCGAGAUGAAGCGAAGCGUAAUCGAGGUUCCACUG
rnacentral:sRNA from 1 species